ACGCUCGACACCUACGGGAGCAGCAGUGGGGAAUAUUGCACAAUGGGGGAAACCCUGAUGCAGCGACGCCGCGUGAAGGAAGAAGUAUCUCGGUAUGUAAACUUCUAUCAGCAGGGAAGAAAGUGACGGUACCUGACUAAGAAGCCCCGGCUAACUACGUGCCAGCAGGGUAAUCUGAGCGGGCUGGCAAGGC
rnacentral:rRNA from 1 species